UACCAGCUCUCCGAGUUGUAGGGAUGAUUAUUGGGCUUAAAGCGUCCGUAGCCGGCUUAGCAAGUCUCCUGUUAAAUUCAGCGACCUAAUCGUUGAGCCGCGGGAGAUACUACUAGGCUAGGAGGCGGGAGAGGUCAACGGUACUUCCGGGGUAGGGGUGAAAUCCUAUAAUCCCGGGAGGACCACCAGUGGCGAAGGCUGUUGACUAGAACGCGCUCGACGGUGAGGGACGAAAGCUGGGGGAGCGAACCGGAUUAGAUACCCGGGUAGUCCCAGCUGUAAACGAUGCGGGCUAGGUGUUGGGGUGGCUACGUGCCACUUCAGUGCCGCAGGAAAGCCAUUAAGCCCGCCGCCUGGGGAGUACGGCCGCAAGGCUGAAACUUAAAGGAAUUGGCGGGGGAGCACCACAAGGCGUGAAGCUUGCGGUUC
rnacentral:rRNA from 1 species